CCUACGGGAGGCAGCAGUGGGGAAUAUUGGGCAAUGGGCGCAAGCCUGACCCAGCAACGCCGCGUGAAGGAAGAAGGCCCUCGGGUUGUAAACUUCUUUUAUCAAGGACGAAACAAAUGACGGUACUUGAUGAAUAAGCCACGGCUAACUUCGUGCCAGCCGCCGCGGUAAUACGUAGGUGGCAAGUGUUAUCCGGAUUUACUGGGUGUAAAGGUCGUGUAGGCGGGAAUGAAAGUCAGAUGUGAAAACCAUGGGCUCAACCCAUGGCCUGAAUUUUGAACUGUAGUUCUUGAGUGUUGGAGAGGCAGGCGGAAUUCCGGGUGUAGCGGUGAAAUGGGUAGAUAUACGGAGGAAAACCAGUGGCGAAGGCGACUAUCUGGCACAUAACUGACGCUGAGGAGCGAAAGCGUGGGUAGCAAACAGGAUUAGAUACCCUGUAGUC
rnacentral:rRNA from 1 species